rnacentral:rRNA from 1 species
CCCUUAGAUGUUCUGGGCCGCACGCGCGCCACACUGAUGCAUUCAACGAGUUACCUUGGCCGAGAGGCCUGGGCAAUCUUUUGAACGUGCAUCGUGAUAGGGAUAGAUUAUUGCAAUUAUUAAUCUUGAACGAGGAAUUCCUAGUAAACGCAGUUCAUCAAACUGCAUUGAUUACGUCCCUGCCCUUUGUACACACCGCCCGUCGCACCUACCGAUUGGAUGGUCCGGUGAAGCCUCGGGAUUGUGGCCAGUGCCUUUUUGGUUUUGGUUGCGAGAACUUGUCUAAACCUUAUCAUCUAGAGGAAGGUGAAGUCGUAACA